rnacentral:rRNA from 1 species
CAGUAGCCGCGGUAAAACGAACCGUGCGAACGUUAUUCGGAAUUACUGGGCUUAAAGCGCGUGUAGGCGGGCCGCCACGUCGGUUGCUGAAAUCCCCCGGCUCAACCGGGGAAGUGGCAUCGAUACGAGCGGCCUUGAGGGGGGUAGGGGGAUCUGGAACUUCCGGUGGAGCGGUGAAAUGCGUUGAGAUCGGAAGGAACGCCCGUGGCGAAAGCGAGGUCCUGGACCCUUUCUGACGCUGAGACGCGAAAGCCAGGGGAGCGAACGGGAUUAGAUACCCGGGUAGUCCCUGUCUCUUAUU